GAAAUGCGAUAAGUAGUGUGAAUUGCAGAAUUCAGUGAAUCAUCGAAUCUUUGAACGCACAUUGCGCCCCUCGGUAUUCCGUGGGGCAUGCCUGUUCGAGCGUCAUUUACCCCCUCAAGCCCCGCUUGGUGUUGGGCGUCUGUCCCGCUUCGCGCGCGGACUCGCCCCAAAGGCAUUGGCAGCGGUCUUGCCAGCUUCUCGCGCAGCACAUUGCGCUUCUCGAGGCAUCGGCGAAGCCGCGUCCAUCAAGUCCACUCCACAGUUUGACCUCGGAUCAGGUAGGGAUACCCGCUGAGUUUAA
rnacentral:misc_RNA from 1 species